rnacentral:rRNA from 1 species
CCUACGGGUGACAGCAGUGAGGAAUAUUGGUCAAUGGACGAGAGUCUGAACCAGCCAAGUAGCGUGAAGGAUGACUGCCCUAUGGGUUGUAAACUUCUUUUAUAUGGGAAUAAAAUGUUCCACGUGUGGGAUUUUGUAUGUACCAUAUGAAUAAGGAUCGGCUAACUCCGUGCCAGCAGCCGCGGUAAUACGGAGGAUCCGAGCGUUAUCCGGGUUUAUUGGGUUUAAAGGGAGCGUAGGUGGAUUGUUAAGUCAGUUGUGAAAGUUUGCGGCUCAACCGUAAAAUUGCAGUUGAAACUGGCAGUCUUGAGUACAGUAGAGGUGGGAGGAAUGCGUGGUGUAGCGGUGAAAUGCUUAGAUAUCACGAAGAACACCGAUUGCGAAGGCAGUUCACUGGACUGCAACUGACACUGAGGCUCGAAAGUGUGGGUAUCAAACAGGAUUAGAUACCCGGGUAGUC